rnacentral:rRNA from 1 species
UAGGGAAUCUUCGGCAAUGGACGAAAGUCUGACCGAGCAACGCCGCGUGAGUGAAGAAGGUUUUCGGAUCGUAAAACUCUGUUGUUAGAGAAGAACAAGGACGUUAGUAACUGAACGUCCCCUGACGGUAUCUAACCAGAAAGCCACGGCUAACUACGUGCCAGCAGCCGCGGUAAUACGUAGGUGGCAAGCGUUGUCCGGAUUUAUUGGGCGUAAAGCGAGCGCAGGCGGUUUCUUAAGUCUGAUGUGAAAGCCCCCGGCUCAACCGGGGAGGGUCAUUGGAAACUGGGAGGCUUGAGUGCAGAAGAGGAGAGUGGAAUUCCAUGUGUAGCGGUGAAAUGCGUAGAUAUAUGGAGGAACACCAGUGGCGAAGGCGGCUCUCUGGACUGUAACUGACGCUGAGGCUAGAAAGCGUGGGGAGCAAACAGG